CAUACAUUAAAUGUAGUAUAGAAACAUGUUGAUAUAUCAACAUGUAGUUCUUGCUUCUUAUAUUUUAAUUUUUGAUUUAAUAUCAUAUAAUAAUCAUGUAAUAGGAUCAUAGAUCUAGGGAUUCUCUGAUUUUAUAAGAUAAAUUUUAAUUUAUUUUAGUCUUCCGCUGUCUGAUCUUGAAAAAGUUUCAAGAUCUAACCCUGAAACCGUAGAUCUGGUUCCUUCACACAUUUGGUGAGACUCAGGGA
rnacentral:lncRNA from 1 species